rnacentral:misc_RNA from 1 species
CACACCUAUGUCUCGGAUCAU